rnacentral:rRNA from 1 species
UACGAAGGGGGCUAGCGUUGUUCGGAAUUACUGGGCGUAAAGCGUGCGCAGGCGGCUUCUCAAGUCAGGGGUGAAAGCCCAGAGCUCAACUCUGGAAUUGCCUUUGAGACUGAGUGGCUUGAGUACGAGAGAGGUGAGUGGAAUUCCCAGUGUAGAGGUGAAAUUCGUAGAAAUUGGGAAGAACACCGGUGGCGAAGGCGGCUCACUGGCUCGUAACUGACGCUCAUGCACGACAGCGUGGGGAUCAAACAGG